UACACACACGAUGACUGAUGCCUUCUCCCUCCUUCUUUUGCAUUCUCCGUUUUCUCAGCUCUGCAGCACUUUUGUGUGUUUGUCUUCUCUGUACAGCGCACGGUGGAACCGGUUCUGCACAGCUCUGGCACAACGCUGUGAGGAAAAACUACUAAUCCUGUACUUUUUCCUCACGUCGUUGAUAUCCUUUGUCCAUAAGGCAUGUUUCCCUUCAAAGUCCUGAGCAUGCAGGGGUGAAGAAAAGAGAAAUGGUGUCUGAGGAAGAGGAGAUGAGGCAACGGCGGAUAAAAUGUGACGAGACUGGAGUGAAAUAGAGAUGCAAGGCUGCAAGUCAAGAGGGAAGGCACUAACUCGGGAGUGAGGAAGAGGGGACAGAGAGGAGGAUUCAAGUUGGAAUCAGGAAAGAAACGCGGGAAAGUUACCGACCUCUCCAUGCCUAAGGAACACCCGGAGUCCUUUCACAAGGGACUGAUCUCAAGCCCUGUGUGUUUGCGACGGCAGCCCUGCAGAGACAAAAGGUGAGGAGCUGCGUGGAUGUUAGUCAGGUAGGUAGGUAGAGAGCAGAAUAAUGGAAUCAAUACUAUUGUCUGUAACCUACCUGCCGCUGGGCUCUCUGUCUGGCCCCAGCAUAGACCAUCAGAGAGGGAGAGAGAGCUGAGAGGAAACACAGACUCACUCUGACUGGGAAAGAAAAGAAAAGAAGAGGCAGGCUGUGAGGUGAUUUCUCUUCUUUUUAACAUUUUCACGUAAAAGGUGGAUGUAGUCUCAGGAUUGUAUGUUUAAUUUUUCAUGCAGAGCUGGCAUGCAUUUUUACCUGAAACUUUUUCAUCACUAAUUCUUCACAUCCUUUCUUUUGAUAUCAUGUUUUGCUGUUUGUGCGUGCAUGUGUGCACUCUUCUGGCUGUAUAUAUUUGUAGAAUAAAUGUGACAUUUUGUCUAUGUUUGCACACGCUGAAAUGAAAAACCUUUCAGUUAUGCUGCAUGUUGUCGACAGGUCAUGUUCGCGUUACGUGUACAUGAUUUGCACCUUAUUUUAAUUUCCUUUAACAACUCAGUUUGUAAAUCUGAAAAAGGGCGUCUGGAAUUUACCUCAUUAUCAUCAUCUUUUUCAGAUCAGGCAGGUAAAUUAGUCAAAUUAGCAGCUGUCAAGGAAUUUAAAUGGUAUGACUGGCAGUGUACAAUAUGCUUUUACACCUGCUGCAAUUACCAUGAAAGUGUUCAACAAAGAAAUUUCCACAUCUGAUGUGCUACGUGAUUUUGCAUAAUUAACUUCCAGUUUUAUUGAUACUGACAUGAAUGACAAUGUUUUAAACAGACAAAGAAAGCAACCUCUGCUGCAGACAAAUCCAUAAUUCAUUUCGAGGUGAAGUUAUGACAAAUGUCUGCUAUUCCCCGUGGCCUGAUCCAGCUGUUAUGUCUGUCACAUGCGACAUUAACAGAGACGGCUUCAAAAUCACACUCUCUGUAAUCUAAAAUCUUGAGGCCUGUAGCUCAUGAAGUCAACCUGUGGGUAAAACAUAAUGUGUAUUAAUGCAGUUCAGUUUGAUACAGAUUGUGACGCAGGCACUUUGCACCUUUUUUUUUUUCACAUUGACACUGAGGUGUUUUAAGUAAUGAAAACACAUUUCCAUUUUACACAACAUAUGAACAUUUUUAGUGUUCCCCAGUCAGUAUGUGUCAUUCUGUCUGUCUACCAGCGGGUGGCAUUGGUGGCAUUGGUUAAUAUUUCUACGCAAUGAAUUUUCUUUUUGUCAUUAACAAAAUAUACAGAAAAUCUUUCAUUGAUAUGUUUGUAUUUAAAAAAUAAAUACAUUUUGAUAUUGUCACAGUUUUACACAGUCGAAAUGUCCUUAUUUUACUUCAUUUACAGGUGGAUGUAUGUUU